CUCGUUCUUCUCUUGUCUGCCACCAUGAAAAACAUGCCGUUUGCCUUCCUCCAUGAUUCUGAGGCCACCCCAGUCACAUGGCACUGUGAGUCCAUUAAACCUCUUUUUCUUUAUAAAUUACCAAGUCUCAAGUAUGUUUUUAUCAGCAGCAUGAGAAUAGACUAAUUUAGUAAAUUGGUACCAGUAGAAUGGGGUGCCGCUGUAAAGAUUCCCAAAAAUGUGGAAGUGACUUGGAAGUGGGUAACAGGAAGAGGUUGGAACAGUUUGGAGACAGGAACAGACGAAGAUGGAACAGAUGGAACAGAUGAAGACAGGAAAAUGUAGGAAAGUUUGGAACUUCCUAGAGACUUGUUGAAUGGUUUUGACCAAAAUGCUGAUAAUGAUAUGGACAAUGAAAUCCAGGCUGAGGUAGUCUCAGAUGGAGAUGAGGAACUUGUUGGAAAGUGGAGUAAAGAUGAUCCUUGCUAUGUUUUAGAAAAGAGACUGGUGGCAUUUUGCCCCUGCCCUAGAGAUAUGUGGAAUUUUGAACUUGAGAGAGAUGAUUUAGGGUAUCUUUGGAGGAAAUUUCUAAACAGCAAAGUAUUCGAGAGGUGACCUGAGAGGUGCUGUUAAAAGCAUUCAGUUUUGAAAGGGAAACAGAGCAUAAAAGUUUGGAAAAUUUGUAGCCUGAUAAUGCAAUAGAAAACAGAAACCCAUUUUCGGAGGAGAAAUUCAAGCAGGUGCAGAAAUUUGCAUAAGUAACAAGUCAAAUAUUAAUCUCUGAAUCAAUGGAGAAAAUGUCUCCAGGGUGUGUCAGAGACCUUGGCAGCAGCCACUCUUAUCAUAGGCCCAGAGGCAUAGGAAGGAAAAAUGGUUUCUUGGGCCAGGUCCAGGGUCCCCCUGCUCAGUGCAGCCUAGGGACUUGGUGCCCUGUGUCCCAGCCACUCUAGCCAUGACUAAAAGGGGCCAAGGUACAGCUCGGGCUGUUGCACCAGAGGGUUCAAGCCCCAAGCUUUGGAAGCUUACACAUGGUUUUGAGUCUGUGGGUACACAGAAGUCAAGAAUUGAGGUUUGGGAACCACUGCCUGGAUUCCAAAAGAUGUAUGUAAAUUCAUGGGUGUUGAGGCAGAAGUUUGCUCUAGGGUUGGGGCCCUCAUGGAGAACCUCUGCUAGGGCAGUGAGGAAGGGAAAUGUGUGGUUGGAGCCCCACACAGAGUCCCCACUGGAGCAUUGCCUAGUGGAGCUGUGAGAAUAGGGCCACUGUCCUCCAGACUCCAGAGCUGUAGAUCCACUGACAGCUUGCACUUUGUGCCUAGAAAGCUGCAGACACUCAAUGCCAGCCCAUUAAAGCAGCUUGGAGGGAGACUGUACCCUGCAAAGCCACAGGGGCAGAGCUGCCCAAGACCAUGGGAACUCACCUCUUGCAUUAGCAUGUCCUGGAUGUGAGACAUGAAGUCAAAGGAGAUCAUUUUGGAGCUUUAAGAUUUGGCUGCUCCACUCAAUUUCAGACUUGCACGGGGCCUGUAGCCCCUUUGUUUUGGCCAAUUUCUCCUAUUUGGACUGGGUGUAUUUACCCAAUGCCUGUACCCCCAUUGUAUCCAGCAAGUAACUAACUUGCUUUUGAUUUUACAGGCUUAUAGGUGGAAGAAACUUGCCUUGUCUCAGAUGAGACUUUGGACUGUGGACUUUUGAGUUAAUGCUGAAAUGAGUUAAGACUUUGGGGGACUCUUGGAAAGGCAUGAUUGAUUUUGAAAUGUGAGGACAUGAGAUUUGGGAGGGGCCAGGGGUAGAAUGAUAUGGUUUGGCUGUGUCUCCAUCAAAAUCUCAUCUUGUAUUGUAGCUCCCAUAAUUCCCAUGUGUUGUGGGAGGAACCCAGUGGGAGAUAAUUUAAUCAUUGGGGCAGUUUUUCCCAUACUGUUUUUAUGGUAGUGACUAAGUCUCAUGAGAGCUGAUGGUUUUAUAAGGGAAACCCCUUUUCACUUGGCUCUCAUUAUUUUCUUGUCUGAGGCCUCCCCAGCCACAUGGAACUGUGAGUCCAUUAAACCUGAUUUUCUUCAUAAAUUCCCAUCUUGGAUAUGUCUUUAUCAGCAACAUGAGAACAGAUGAAUAAAAAUUCUCAGACUGGGAGAAAAAUAUGCUAAAGUGCUUCAUUCCCAGAAUAAUAUUCUUGUUAUUUUGUCAUAUGGGCAGCCUACCUGCUUACCUCCUGUCCACACAUCCUAAUAUGAUGCCAACCAGUUAGUAUGUCCUCACUUACUUGCUGACAUGGAUUCUUUGCUUGGCCAAAUUUUAGUCACGUCUUCUGAACAUUCUUCUAGGCCCAUCUGUGCACUUCCUUGUAAAAUACUGUUUUAACUAAGUCAGUUUAGCAACAAUCCCCAAUCUCAGUGUCUGAUCACCCUUGGUAGCUGAUCAUAUUACUUAUCCUCCCUUAUCCCCCAGGUGAUUUCUGAUCUUUCUGGUCUGUUUUUAGCAAGAUCCUGUUAGGUUGGUUUAGCCAGAAUUCCCCUUACCCCUGAUGUUUCUGCUUAGUAAUUUUCCAUCCUCUGACUACCUCAUCUGCUUCUUGGCUACAGAUUCUCACUUGCCCCUGCUGUAUUCGGAGUUGAGUUCAAUCUCCCUAGCCUAUUGUUAAGACUUAGUUGUAGUCAUUCCUGUAGCUACUGCAAUGAUCCUAAAUGAAGUCUUUUUUACUGUGCUUUAACAAGUAUCAUUGAAUAUUUUUUUUCUUUAACAUUACACAAAAAGGAAAACAGCCUGUUCAUUUCAUGGAAGGACGUUUUGGAAAAAUAGAUCCAGACCUACAUAGAAAGGUAUGACAGCUACCUUAAUUCAUCCAUCAAGACCUUUCUUCUUAAUUGUGAAUUACCAACUAUAGAUCAUCAGAGAAUUUAAGAAAAUCGACAAACUAAAUGCAAAGAAACAAGCUAAUGAAAUAGAACAAAUGACUAAAGGAAACAGAAGUAAUUCAAUGAACAUAAGAAAACUUAAAAAAUAUUCUAAUUACAUUCUCAGAAAGAUUUGAGUGCACACUACAUACAUUAGAAGAGAAAAAUAAAGGAAAAUCAGACUGCUAUGAAAACCAAGUAAGUAUUUUUGGAACUCAAACAUAUUUUCUGAAAAUGUAAGAAAGAAAUAACUAGAAAAUCUACAUACCAAACUAAUGCUGUAUUCUGAAAAACAAAGUUGAUAAACACACAAAGCAUAGAACAAAAACUGGAAAAUAUGAGUUAUUGAACUGAUGAAUUAUUGAACAUCAUCUCAGGGACUUUGAUAUCUCUCUAGCAGUUUUAGAAAAAGAGUAUGAGGAAAAGUUAAGAUGUAGAAAUUAUUUAAUAUUAAACAUUUUGUUUUAAUAAAAAAAGGCAGUGCGAGUCUUCAGACUGAAAGAACGAACUCACUGGUGAUAUGUCAGAACUCAAAUGAUAAUAAAUAAGUUGAAAAAGUUUCAGAGGGGAAAAAUGGGCUACUGGAGGGUGCUAAAUACUCAUGUAACAACAGGAACUAAGGAAAGGCAGAGGUCCCUGAUUUUGAUGCCUUGAGGAAUUGCUUCUGUGAGCAAAGAUGGAUUUAUAAGCAAAGUAUUGCGACAAAUGAGGUAAGUAUUCACAUCCUACUAGGGUUCUGGAGAAGAAAGAACUGCUGAUCCUUAAGGGCUCAGGAGAAACUUCACAAAGCAGGUGUCAUUUGACCUAUGUCUUGAAGCGCAAAUAUGAGUUUACCUUAAAUGUCAGGAAAUCAGAAACAAAUACAACAAUGUGUUCAUUUUAGCUGACUGGGAAUCUUCUCUUCUUUUGCUUCUUAUUCAAGUUUUAUUUUCAAUUUUAUUCCUGUUACUUUAUUUAUACUGUGUUUUUUUUCUACUGUGACUUUAAACCUCUUGUAGUAAACAAACCACGUAGCUUCAAUAAAUAAACAUUUAGUUUCUUCAUCAAAUGUAAAAAUCAGGUAUAGGUUUUAUAUGUUUUAGGGAACUGAAUAAAAAUAAUUACAUGUGAUUCUUAAUUUUUUAUGAGCUACUUAGAUAGGAUGAUACUAUUAGUGGAAGAAUAUGAUCAACCUAGACUCUUUGACAAGGAAUGAAAUCUUCUAUAGAUUAAACAUUCAAAUUACAAGGCUUUUUAUUUAUGCCCAAACAGAAAAGAUAAAUAAGGAAGGAACAUUUUGUGUGAGGAGGGUUAAAGGAGACUGCAGUGUAGGUGUGAUAAUUUUGGUAGCCUAAUUUGUCAUUUAAAUAUUUAUGAAUAAAGAGAAAACAGGAUGAUGAAAUCUGAAAACAAAACAGUAUGCUUUUUCAUUUUCAAGGACCAUGGAUUUCCAUAAAUUAUUUUCAGAUAAGGAUGUUUUAAAUUGAUGACACAAAGCAGUGGCAAAUCUAUUAGUGAGUCAGUAAAUUGAUGAGCAAGCUUAUUGAGUACACCUUGUAUGUAGAACUCCUCAUUGGCUAUUUUAAGAAAAGCUUUGUCAAUAUCAAUGCUGAUGACUACCCUUGGGAAUAAACUGGUAACAUUUAGAGUUUCCAAAAUGAAGCCAAGCCUGCUUCAAAAUUUUCCUGUUACAUGUUUUUUUUCAAAUUCUUAUUAUCACAAUAUUUGGAAAUUAGGGCUUAUGUUUUAAUAAUGCAAUUUACCUUUGAGUAAAAAAAGAAUUCAUUUUUUAAUACUACUUGUUUACAUAUACAUAAAAUUUGAAAUAAAAUAGAAUACUGAGGGUCCUUUGCACCCAGUUAAAUUGAAUUGGACUUCUUAAAAAAUUGUCUUUCAUGAUCUUUCACUUUAAUAAUGUGGAACUGGCUUAUUGACCAUUCAAAAAAGAAGGAAAACACUAAUGUUUGGAAGCAGAGAUGCUGUGCAGCUUCAACCCUUAGCCUAGGGUUGAAUCUUUUCUGAAUCUUUCCUAGGAAUCUUUUCUGAAACCUAGCAACAUUAGUCUGACCAUAAGGAAACCUUGAAAUAAAUUCCAGAGCCUGCUUUCUGUCUUUGGUAAAAGGCUGCCAGGCUUGUUUGAGAUGGCAAUGAAAGAUUUACAUAAGGCAUCUGAUUCUGAGAAAAGGGAUUACUUGUAGGUACAAGUGAAGGAUUUCUAAAUUUCAAACAGAAAACUCAAUCUCUUCUGUUCAGAGCAUUCAGGAAAUCUGAACCCCUACAAAAAGCCUUACUCCAUCAAUGGAAUGUGAUGUUAUGAUUUCCUUCGCCUAUACACACUAUGCUUGUGGUUUUCCCUUUUGUACAAUGAAGCUGCAGACCUCGAUGGACUUAAAACCUCUUUCAGGUUGUUAAAAGACAAAGUUAUAACAUAUUUGAAAGUGAAACUCUCAACUGGCUUUUAUUUGUGAUUCUAAAAUUGGGCAGCACCUCAUCUUACAAGGUAGAAUGAGUGUUCCAAUGAACUGAGCUAAACAGGUUAGUUUUGUAGACAAGGAGCUGAGGAAAGCAGAAACAGAGAACAAAAAUCAGAUUGGUUGUUUAAAGUUAAUUUCCUUGUAAGUGUUAGAGAGCACUUCCUUAUCAUGUUGGCUAAGACUGGCUUGUUUGGGAAUUUGGCUAUUAUCUCUCACUCUCCUGAUUUCUCGGCAGGUCAGAUAACUUACUUUUGGCUUAGUGACAUGGAACUUUAUAGCAUGAGUGACUCCAUUUUGUUUUGGUCUGUUGGGUCUAGUGCAGGAGUUCAGUCCAAACCAAUAGUCUCCUAUAUAUUUUAUUUAAUAAGCUCUAAUGGUCUGAAGAUUUUGCAGUUCAUUUUUUAAUUUUCACCCACAUAACCCAUAUUUACUAAUUUAAAAAAAUGGAUAUACAUUAUUUAUCAGUAUUUGUACAGCUGUCUAAAUGACUUUAUGUUGAUGUGUGUUGCUACUGUCAAGUUCAUAUUAGAACUUCUGGGGAAGCAAGGACCAUAUCUUAUUUGUUUGGUACCAGAACCUAAUCCAUUGAAAUAUGUUGUAGAAAAAAAAAAUGAAAAAUGUGUGUGUGUGUGUGUGUGUGUGUGUGUGUAUAGAUUGAUGGUAUGAUUUUCAAGUUAUUGACACAAAAUGAGUGUGAAUGUGAUUGUGGGAGAGUGGCUUGAAGAAAACAGAAAUGAGACUGGGGAGAGAAGGGACACAUUUUAAACCAAAAUUUCCAUUUCCUUAAACUUUAUAGUGUCUUGAUGUGUGACCCAAAGAUGCCAAAGUGAAGGAAGCAGAGCAUAAGUCUCCUACCUACUAACAUAUUUUAGAUUUAUGUAAUUUGCUAUUUUUCCAAAGAGGCCGAAAAUUUCCAAGUGUAGAGCCAUUAAUCAGUGACUAAAGAGACAGAUGGUCUAAAGAGAAGAAGUACUGCUAUACAGUUUUUAUCUGAGUUCUGUUAACUGUCUCCUAGAAAAACAAUUAUACAGGGCACAGAGAAUACCUGAAAUUGAGAACAUGGCUCUUCAAAGUCCAUGAAACAGCAGAAUGUAGAAUUCUUUCAGUACACAAAUUAUUUGGAGGAGUUUAUGAUUGUAGUACUUGAAUUAGAUGAAAAAGCCCUUGAGUUAGCACUGUAUUUAGAGGUGGGUACAAUGUCUGUUGGGCUAGAGUCUGGUCUAGUUACUUUCACGGUUGUAUGAUUCCUGCUCCCCUCCAACUUUGCUAUGCCAUCGCUCACCAUGAUGUUUACUACAUACUAUAUAAUUACAUUAAUGAGAUCUUUGAGGUAUUCAUUAUCUAAUUUGAAGGCGAACUGGAAUGUUAUCAUUGGGGUGGCUAUCAUCCGUUGUUUCAAAUAUUACUUUAGGGGAUAUGUCAUCUUUGUCUUCUGUCAUCCUUAUCUGACUGGUCCCCUCCCCAGUCUGAAACAAUUGCAAGUCACUUGGUAAUUACGUGUCAUUGUAGCAUCUUCUAUUUGCAUCCAUCUCAAUGAGAUUAUGUCUUUUCUGUCCUUCUGUAAGCUUCUUGAUCGUACACCCUCAUGUGUUUAUUUAGUACAUAUAAUCUGCCCUGGUUCCAAGACAUUCCUACAGAAGAUAUGUAGUACUUAGUGCAUACAUGAGAGUCUAAGUGAAUAGAUAAAUUCUACCUGCUAUCUCUAAAAUUAUCUAAUUUGAAAUAACAUUUUCACUGGGAUACCCUUAGAAAUUAGACCCUGGGAUGCUUUAUGUCUUGCUUUUCUUCUCACACUGUUUUGUUCACUCAAAUUGUUAUCAAAAUAACUGGAAAAUUUACUCACAGAAACAAACUAAUUAUUCCUACUUACCUGGACCCUAUCAUUAGGAGAAAAUGUGGUUACAACUAAAAAAUAGCAACAAUCUAUUCAAGAUGCAAACAUAUUCCACCAUCCUACUACAUCACAAAGUCCAACUUGGAGUCUCACAAUUGUGCAUUCCCAAACUCACUCACAAUUCCCUGGGUGCCAAGAGGUCUCUGCUCGCACAUCCUGGUUACAAGCCUUGAUGUUAUCUUAUGCCUCUUUCCUUCUAUCCCCCUAGGUUCUCCUGUGUGUCCCUCCACUGUGCUUCCCUCUGUGCUAAAUGACUGGUUUCCCCCAUGAAAUGAGUUCUUUCCUAGGACAUUGUGAAUCCAUAGGACACUGAGGAUGCUCAAUCAUUUAUAGAAAAGGCUUUCAGUCCUAUUCUCAUUACUCCAGUAAUUCUAUACUCUCUAAGAACACUAUCUGUCAUGAAAAUGCCCACCUUCUAUUGUCCUGAAGGCCCGGUAUUUUUUAUUCUUUGCUCUGUCACCAUAGGGCAGGACUUUUGUCAUCUGCUAGAUAGCAUAUCAACUACUAGGAAACUUUUGUAAAAGAACAACGAUGACAACAACAACAACAACAACAACAACAGCAAUACCUGUUAUCCUUCUGAAUACUUUAUUCAAACAGCAGGUAAUGAAGUCUUCCAAAAAAAAAUAAAUAAAAGCCCAAAGAAUUAUCAGCAAUCAUCACAUGCACAUUGACUGUAUGUUCUAGAUUUUCUGACUCGGUUUAUAUUUUAAGUAUUUUAUUCUACUGUCCCACUAGAUAUCUCAUAUUUAGGAUAAUUAUUAAUUUAUUCCAUGAAUAUGAUAACCAGAUGAUCAUGAGUGAUACCAAUUUUGAACCUUAUUAGGAAGGGAGAUAAAACUUAAAUAGCCAGAUGUUUUUAGAAAAAAAAUUGUUUUGAAUAGGAAUAUUCUCCAGAUUUGUUUUCAAGGGCAGAAAGAAAGUGGGACAGUCAUCAUCAUUACUAAAUAAUAUAUGAUUGCCAGAUUUUUCAAAACUAGCCAAAUAUUGAUUGGAAAAAAAUUUUUGAAAGGCAAAAUUAUACUAUUCUCAAAUGUUUUAUAAGAUAUUCCUGAGCUAAAUUUUAAUGCUAAGAGCAGAUAGUUGCAUUUAAUGUUUAGAACAGAUAUCCUCUGGAAUGUACAAUGGUGUUUUUGAGAAAUGUUAUUUUAGUUUUAGGAGAAGAGAUUUUAGUAUUUUCACAUUCAUUCUCCUAGUCAAAUCAAUUAGUUUUGGCCGAAACUACUUUUUGAGCAUCCAUCGAGUGCAGAGUACAGUAAGGUCCUUAUGCAAUUAUAGUUCUUGAGCCAUGAAUAAGAAAUAGGUUGAUUAUAAUAGGUUGUCUAAACUCUGUUCUAGUUGUUGCAACUGGGUGGUUUCAGUGGGCUUCAUUUUUAAUAGGCAGCUGCUUCCUGGGAUUGGUAUGGCCUUGGUUUCAUACUCUGCUACCUAUUAAUAAAAGGUGGGCUUUUGGAGAUAGAUUUAGAGGAAAUAACUGAGACAGUUUAUUUUGUAGUCUAUCUAUUGCUUUUACAAUCUUUUACCACCAUUACUCCAACAUUUGAAGUGAAAAAACAGGAAAGAGCAAAUAGCUUAUUAAAAACAAUAGUGAUAAACUUAACAAUUUCUGUUUAGAUCUUGAUAUAUCUUAUUUGGCUAGACUUCUCUACAAAGUCUUCUGCUUCCUGGGAACUUGCUGAUACCAAGUCCUGGGAAUGGGAAAGGAGGGGACAUGUAGACACAUUUGAACUAUGGGUGUCCCAGUGAGUCACUUUACUGAAAGGUUGUCCUCUUGGGUGACUCUGAGUUUCUUUUAAAUACUCUUCUGUCCCAUUUCUUGGGUUUGACCAAGUGGGUCUAAUCAAUUUGAUCUUUUCCCACUAAAGUAGUCCUGAUGGCCCUCACAUCUUGGAAAAUUUCCCCUUAUGAGUCAACCAAAGGGACAGAAAAAAAUGGCUUUUAAUAUUUCUAAGAUUUGAAUUGAAACCCUUUAUAUCCCAAUGUACUAGAUGUGCAGUGUGCAAGUAAUUUCCCCGAGCACCAAAUUCUGAGUACAAACCUGUGGAGAUAAUUAUAGUAUCAUCAGCUCUACAGGGCAGAUACAAGGUUUACCUACCAUCUGGGAGAACGUUUAUGAAACAUUAGCAGAAAUUUGACAAAAUUUAAUCUCUUUACUUUUCUCUAAGAUCAUAUGAAGUAAUAUUUAUUGAGCACAUCCAAGUGCUCAGAGCUUUACAUAUAGUAUCUUAUUUAAAAUAGUCAUCUCAAUAUUUUGAUGAGGAAGAUGUCUUCCCAAUUUUAAGGAUAAGAAAAAUCAGCGGAUUUAUAGAGAGAUUAUGAAGCUAUAUAUAUAAUCAGGAAGAUUCCAGACUCAUGUUUGAAUUUGGAUGUAGCUCACUCAGAAGUCUCUUCACUAUAUGAGAAGGUUACAUUGCAAAAAGUCAUAGGUAUUAAGUAAAGAGUAGUGUCUAAGUUCUUAAUUUCUGAGGAAAUUUCGCUCCUUCCCAAGCAACAAAAGGGAGAUAAUUAGACGGAUUUUUAAUAUAAAAUGCUUGACAAUGUUUAGUAUUUUUCAUUAGAAGUCAACUUCUUAGCAAAUAUGCUUUAUCUUUAUUUUUGAACUCAUUUUAGAGCAUUUAUUAAUGCUGUUUAUUAACAUAUAUUUGAAUAUGAUAGUAUAGUUGGCAUUUGAUUUUUUAUGUUAAAUAUAGAGACUGCUGAUACAGUUGGUUCAAGAAUCAAUUAAUUGUGGCCUUAUUUAGUAUUUAUACUGAUGUUUGUUUACUGAAAUAGGAAUUUACAAAAAAUAUAAAAAGUAAUGCCAAACUUCUAAAUUGUUUUCCAUUGGAUAGAAAAAGCUUAAUUACUUAUUUAUUCUUUUCUGCUUUGCUGUCUUUCAGGUUUCCCACUUCAUGCUAAAAAGUGGUAACAUUGCAUGUCAGACUGAAGAAAGACACCUGAGUCUAUGUUGAGUUGUGUUUGGCCCCUUGCAAGGUUGUCAUAAAUGAUUCAUUGUUUUGGCUUAAGGGGCUUUCAGCUGGAUGACAAAGCAUAAGGACAAAAAAUAUGAAAUUUGUCAUUAAAUGUCUUCAUCAUUUAGCCUGUUUAAUUGUGCUAAGAUCUUUUAAGAAACAAUGAAUACAGAGAUUUCCAGAUUAUACUUCCAUGAAAGCCUAAAUCUUCUCAGGUAUUCACAGUUUAAAAAAAUUGAAGUAUACCAAAUGAUAUCCAAGUUUACUGUGAAAGCAAAUGGCCCAUAAAAUUUUGCAUUUACAUUUGAAUUUUAAUCUAGAGAGAAGGAGACCACAUAAGUAAAACACAAUCUAUCUCAUAGGCUGAAGCGUCAGGUAUUACAAAUGUAUGUGGUUAGCUUCUCUUUAUUUAGUUCUCAUUGAUUUAGGUACUAAUUCUACCCAUUCUUUGCUUUAAUCAUUUAGUAUUAAGAAAUAUUGACUUUCAUCAGAGCUUAAUAUACAACUGGCUCCAAAUCUAGAAAAUCAAUUUAAAUUCUUUAUAGUAGUAUGUAAUUGGUUAAUUCAGUCAUUUUUAAAACAAUAUAUUUGUUUAAAAAUAUUUAUUUUGCUAACCAGCUACCAGACAUUGUUCUAGGUAAUUCUUACAGAAGUGCGUAAGACAGAUAGUGUGGCUUCCCACAUAGGGCAUAUAGAUUACAAAGAGAAGACAUAGCUAAAGAAUUAAACCAAUAAUAAAAACAUCAAAUUCUCUGAAAAAAAGAGCUGCUGCCAGUAUCAGUGAAUACUUCUUUCAUGUAACACAAACUGACACUUAAAGAAAAAAAAAAAAACACUCAGCCAUGCAAAGAUGUAAGUAAAGAGAAUUCUGGGUGGAAAGAAUAGGAUAAGUGAAAUAUUUCAAGCAUGGAAGAUCUAGGAAUCUUUCAGGAACUGAAAGGAGGCCAGUAUGAUUGGAAUAGAGAAAAUAGGUAGGCCAGGAGGUCAGAUGAUGUAGGCAUUGAAGGACAAGAUAGGAGUUUGCAUGCUGGUCAACAAUUUUAAAUCAGAGGGAGGGAGAGGGAGAGGAAAAGGGAGAGAGGCAGAGAGUGAGAGAGAGGUAGAGAGAAAGAGAGAGAGGGAGUGAGAAAGAGAGAUCAAAUUUACUUAUUUUGCCAAUAGAACUGUUGUGUGAAAAAUGAACUGAAAGGAAGUAAGGGGAGAAAAACAGCAAAGAGCACAUUUAGGAAGUGAAGAUAAUGAGAGUCCACUCAAUGAUAAAGGUUUGGACUUGGACAGUUUAGUAGAGAAGUACACAAGAACGGUUGUGAAAUAUAUCUUAGAAGUAUAAUUUGUGGAGUUUUGCUGAUUGAUUAAAUAUGAGGCAUGAGAAGAAGGAGAGAAAGGAAUGAAAUAUGUCUACCAGGAAUAUGGGUUGAACCAUUGAGUAGAUGGUGGUGCAGGUGCAAUUUACUGAAGAUCUGGGAUGAACAGGUUUUGGAGUGAAGAUCCAAGUCCACUUUUUUAUGUAUUAAAUUUAAGAUACAUUUUAGACAUUAGGAGACAUUUGUGGCCACUAUGACAUAUAAGGCUUUAGCUUAUUUGAGAGGUUCAGACUGGAAAUAUCUAUUUGAGUAGUUAGUAUUUUAUGUGCAAGCCAUAUAAUUGAAUGAUAUUACAUAGAGAAAAAGUGUAGAGUGAGAAAAGGAGAGGAUCAAAGACUAAGCACUAUAGAAUGCCUACAUUUUUAUUGUAAUUAUUAUUAUUAUUAUUCUUAUUCUGAGACAGAGUUUCACUCCUGUCGCCCAGGCUGGAGUGCAAUGGCACGAUCUCUGCUCACUGCAACCUUUGCCUCCCGGGUUCAAGCGAUUCUCUGCCUCAGCCUCCCAAGUAGCUUGGAUUACAGGCACGUGACACCACGCCUGGCUAAUUUUUUUGUAUUUUUAGUAGAAACGGGGUUUCACCAUGUUAGCCAGGCUAGUCUCGAACUCUUGACCUCAGGUGAUCCACCCACGUCGGCAUCCCAGAGUGCUGGGAUUACAGGCGUGAGCCACUGUGCUUGGCCUAUUUAUUUUUUAAAUUGACAAAAUUCUAUACAUUUAUUGUGUAUGAUGUUGUGUUUUAAAAUAUUUUAUGCAUUGUGGAAUGGCUAAAACAAGCUAAUUAAUAUAUGCAUUACUUCAUACCCUUACAAUUUUUUGUGUGUGAUGAAAACAUUAAAGUCUACUCUUAGCAAUUUUCGAAUAUACAAUACAUUGUUAUUAACUACAGAAACCAUGAUGUUCAAUAGAUCUAUUGAACUUAUUCCUCUGUCUCACUGAAAUUUUGUAUCUUUUGACCAACAUCUUCCCAAUUACCACUCACCGACAGUCCUUGGUAAGAAACAUUCUACUCUGUUUCUAUGAGUUUGACUUACUUAGAUUCCACAUAUAAAUGAGAUCAUAUGGCAUUUGUUUCUCUGAGCCUGGCUUAUUUUGCUUAACAUAGUAUCCUUCAGGUUCAUUCAUGUUGUCUCCAAUGCCAGGAUUUCCUUUAUCUUAAGGCAGAAUAGUAUUCCACUGUUACGCCACAUCUUCCAUUUAUCCACUACUGGACACCUUGGUUGAUUUUAUAUUUUGGCUAUUGUGAAUAGUGCUGCAGUGAACAUGGGAGUGUAGAUAUUUCUUUGACAUGUUGACUUCAUUUCCUUUGGAUAUAUACCCAGUAGUGAGAUUGCUGGAUAAUACGGUAGUUCUAUUUUUAAUUUUUUGUGGGACCUCCAUUGUGUUUUCCAUAAUAGCUGUACUAAUUUACAUUCCCAUCCACACUGUACAAGGAUUCGCUUUUCUUGCAUUCUCAUCAACACUUGUUAUCUUUCAUUUUUCUGAGACUAGACAUUCUAACAAGUGGAAGGUAAUAUCUCAUUAUGGCUUUAAUUUGAAUUUUUCUGAUAAUUGGUGAAGUUGAGUAUUUUUUUCAUAUGCUUGUUGGCCAUUUGUAUGUCAUCUUUGGAGAAAUGUAUUCAGAUCCUUUGCCCAUUAUUUUUUAAUUGGGUUAUUUUUUUCUAUUGAGUUGUUUCAUUCCUUAUGUGUUUUGAAUAUUAAUCCCUUAGCAGAUGUAUGGUUUGCAAUUUUUUUUCAUUCUAUAGGUUUUCUCUUCAUUCUGUCAAAUAUUUCUUUGCUGGGCAGAAGCUUUUUAGUUUGAUGUAAUCUCACUUCUCUAUUUUUGCUAUUGUUGCCUGUGAUUUGGGAGCUACAUCCAAAAAAUCACCACUGAGACUGAUGAUACAAAGCUUUCCCUCUGUUUUCUUCUAGUCUUUUUACAGUUUCAAGUCUUAGGUUUUAGUGAACUACAUUUUAAGUCCAAGUCAAAGAUCUGAAACUGGAAAAGGAGAGUUAUGAGUGGACAAAGAGAUAAACCCGUUUAAAGAAGUACAGAAUAGCUCAUGAUAUUAAAUGAUGUUCGUUGCUUUAUUUUUAAAAAUUGUGCCUGUUGGACAUGGAAACAAGAAGUAUUUGGUGAUCCCAGUCAGUGCAGUUCAAUUUCAUUGAACUAAUUGGAACAGCAGCAAGGUCAUGGUGGGAGAGUGAAUGUGAAGUAAGAAAGUGGAGACAAAGAAAUUGUAUGAAGAAUUGUUUCUAUGAAUGGGAACACAGUUGGAGAGGUUUGGAGGGACAAGUAAUAAUAUUGAUUUUAAAUAUGGGAGGUAUAAGAGAUUCCUUUUUAAAAAGUUCUUGAUAAAAUGAGAGACAUAGAUGAGUCAUUUCUGGAAUCUUUGACUAAGGCAAUAACAACUUAUUCAUUUUAUUUUAUCUUUUAUUCUGAAUGAUGAUGAUGAUGAUUUUUUUAAAGUAAAUACUAUCUUCCUGUAUCUCUAAAAAAAAUGACAGCAUGUACUUUUCAUAGAAUGGGACCUGAAUGAGGGUUUAUUGAAGAGUGAAUAAAUGUACACAUUAGUAUAAAUACAGAUGUUCUUAUAUGUCAGGUAUAUAUUAGAAAAAGACAAUUUUGUUCUUUACUGCUCAAACUCAACACAGAACAUUUCUGUGACCCCAGAUGUGUAUGUUUGUGUGUUUUUUUCCCCACAUUGACCAAUUCUCCAACACUAGCCUGUUGGGCUAUAAUUAAAUUCAGUCCUGGCAUGAUCUACCUAGAGCGAGAGUCAAAUUCCACAGAUGAAGGCCUCAGUCCUACAAGACUGUACCCUACUUCAGAUUUAAUCAUAAGUCCAAGUCUCCAUCUCCAAUACAUCUGAUCAAUUGGCUACAUAUUGGGCUUCCCAUAACCCUCUCCUCAGCUUCCAUCAUUUGAUCUAAUGGCUUAUGGAAAUCAAGGAAAUGCUUUGCUUACUACUGCCUAUUUAUUUCAAUGGAUAUGUUAAAGGAUACCAAUGAGCAGCUAGAUGAAGAGGUACAGACAGUGAGGUUUGGAAGGGUCCCAAGUGCAGGAACUUCUGUCCCCAUGGAGAUGGAAUGUGCCAUGCUACUGGGACGUAGAUGUGUUCAGCAACCCAGAAGCUCUCCAAACACUGUCCUUUGAGGAUUUUAUAGAGGAUUCAUUAUGUACAUAUAAUUAAUUACAUAAUUGGCCAUUGGUUAUUAGCUUUACCUUCAGCCCCUCUUUCCUCCCUGGAUGUUGGGGGCUGGGGCUCAAAAUUUCAAUUCUUUAAUCACAGGCUGGUUCCCCUGGCAACCAGCCCCCAUCCUGGAUAAUAUCCAGGAUGCCCCCAUAUCCAGGAACCCACAGCCAUGCUAGUAAUCUCACUAGGACACAAAAAUACACUUAUAACUUUAGAGAUUUCAAGGGUUUUAAAAGCUAUGCACCAAGAAAUGACUGCAAAGACCGUAAAUAUAUUUAUUAUUGUGUCAUAUCAGGUUACUUUAAGCUUGUCCAUUCUGUUUUUUCAUCUUCUCAAAAUAUGUGCCAGAACAUUGUUUGUUUAUAUGCCAUUAAUAUUGAUACUUAAAAAUAAAUAAGUUGGUUUGCUAAAACCAAAACACGUUUCUGAAGAGUUUUGACUUAUCUCUCAAAAAAAAAAUAGGAAGAAUAAUGAUUCAGUUAGCAAUUUAAAAACAUUCAUUAAUCCCUUUCUAGAUAUAAAGCAUUAUGAUAAACCAUGUAAGAGAUUUCAAAUAACUUAUUUGUGGCCAAUAAUUGGGAAAUGUAUGGUAUUUAAUAGUAUGUAUUUCUUUCAUUUCUCCCAAUCAGAACUUCUAAUAAUCUUACUUUUUAAAAUUUUAUCAUAUUUUAUUAUUUAUUUUAAUAUUAUUUUAAUCAUCAUACUCUAACUCCACAAGCAAUGUUAAAUUCUUUAUGGAUUUAUGAUUAAUGUUGUAUGCAAAGGUGAAUGAAUGAAUGAGUCAGUGUAUAAAUAAAGAGUUCAUACAUAAAUAAAGACACAUAUCUCAUCCCAAUGUAUAGUUUUAAUUUGGGGACAGGGAGUUGAAUUUUGGGGUAGAGAUAUAGAUAACUAAAAAUUGUCUAUAAAAAGUAUUUAAGAAGUUUGUAAUUUUACUGAAUUUCUGGAGUGAGAAUAUCAUGUUUUAUGGCAGAGGAAGUAGCAUUUUGAGAGUUUGAGAUAGCCCUAAUUGUUUUAUAGAAUUAAAACAUGUAUAUAACCAAAGCAGUGAUGUAAUCCAUGGUGGAGAAAUUGUAACAUGGAAAAAUCCACAUAUCAGAAAACAUCUCACAUAAUUUUAUAAAAUUAUUAAAAUUUUAUCAAGUGGAGGAAGAGCUGUCAAGUAAAAGACAUUUUCAGUCGUACAGAAUAUUAUGUCUAAUUUGCAUUUCUCUGAUGGCCAGUGAUGAUGAGCAUUUUUUGAUGUGUUUUUUGGCUGCAUAAAUGUCUUCUUUUGAGAAGUGUCUGUUCGUGUCCUUCGCCCACUUGUUGAUGGGGUUGUUUGUUUUUUUCUUGUAAAUUUGUUUGAGUUCAUUGUAGAUUCUGGAUAUUAGCCCUUUGUCAGAUGAGUAGGUUGCGAAAAUUUUCCCCAUUUUGUAGGUUGCCUGUUCACUCUGAUGGUAGUUUUUUUUGCUGUGCAGAAGCUCUUUAGUUUAAUUAGAACCACAAUGAGAUACCAUCUCAUACCAGUUAGAAGGGCAAUCAUUAAAAAGUCAGGAAACAACAGGUGCAGGAGAGGAUGUGGAGAAAUAGGAACAGUUUUACACUGUUGGUGGAACUGUAAACUAGUUCAACCAUUGUGGAAGUCAGUGUGGCAAUUCCUCAGGGAUCUAGAACUAGAAAUACCAUUUGACCCAGCCAUCCCAUUACUGGGUAUAUUCCCAAAGGAUUAUAAAUCAUGCUGCUAUAAAGACACAUGCACACAUAUGUUUAUUGUGGCACUAUUCACAAUAGCAAAGACUUGGAACCAACCCAAAUGUCCAACAACGAUAGACUGGAUUAAGAAAAUGUGGCACAUAUACACCAUGGAAUACUAUGCAGACAUAAACAAUGAUGAGUUCAUGUCCUUUGUAGGGACAUGGAUGAAAAUGGAAACCAUCAUUCUCAGCAAACUAUUUCCAAGGACAAAAAACCAAACACCGCAUGUUCUCACUCAUAGGUGGGAAUUGAACAAUGAGAACACAUGGACCCAGGAAGGGGAACAUCACACUCUGGGGACUGUUGUGGGGUUGGGGGAGGGGGGAGGGAUAGCAUUAGGAGAUAUACCUAAUGCUAAAUGACGAGUUAAUGGGUGCAGCACACCAACAUGGCACAUGUAUACAUAUGUAACAAACCUGCACAUUGUGCACAUGUACCCUAAAACUUAAAGUAUAAUAAUAAUAAAAUUAAAAAAAAGAAUAUUGUGUUGAAAACAAAAAGGGCAAGGAAAGCAAUGUGUUGGGAAGAGUGGGUAGGCUGACAAGUGAAUAGCACUGCAGUUGCUCAGUACUGGAAAUAUAGAUUUGAUUUUUAGAAUGAAAGACCUUGAAUGCCCUACCACAGAAUUUUAAAAUAUUUCCAUAGGGCAUCCUGUACUUGGUUUUAUGUUCUAGGAAGCCUAAUAUGAUGAUGGUUGGUAACAGCUUAGGAGGAAUGGAUGUGGAGUUAGGAAACUAGUUAGGCUUCCUAUUGCAAAGAUCCAGAUGUGAGCCAUUAGCUCAACUGUGGAAAUAAAAAGAAAGGGAAUAUUGAGUGACAUGCUACAGAAUAAAAUAUUUUCAGGACCUGGCAAGCAAGUGAGUGAGAGGGAAGAAGAAAGAUUACUUCAAAGCUUUGAACUUGUGUGACUGGAAGAGUGGUGAGAUGAAGCUAGGACAGUCAGAAGAACUCAUUGCAGUGUCAGCAUAAGAAGGAUCAUUCCAAACUUCUGGAGUUUCCAGUGUUGGCUGAAAAUCAGGUGUCAGGGACUGGUAGGCAGUUGACAACAUAGUGAGAGGGGCGGGACUAGAGAUCAUUAAUUUGGGGCACCUUGGUAUAAAGGUGGUAGAUGAAGACUUAAAAGGGUUGGCAUUAUGAGGAAAUCACACAUCUGGAGAGAGUAAGAAUUUAAAAAGGAAUAAAUAAAAAUCAAUGUUUAUUUGCAUUUCCUCCCUUUUCUUUAUAGUCCUGAAAAUUGACAUCAUAUGAGAGACUGAUUCUUUAACAGGGGGAAUUGAUAAUAUGAAUGGGUGGAGUCUAUGAAAAAGACCAGAGAUUUUGGCAAGUAUAUGCUAGUAUUAAGAGUAUUGAUUGCAAAUGUGGAUCCUGGAAACAAAUUUAGGGUAGAAGACAGCAGUGAUUUCAGAAGGAAUUUGUUAUAAAUAAUAUAAUGUGGGUAACUUUUUGAAUGUGGUAAAUUGUAGUUGAGGCUACGAGAUGUAUUUAGGUAUAAAAUUACUUAUGUAUUAAUAAAUAAUAAGGGAAUUUAGGUUUCUUUAAAGAAAAUGAACGAAUAGGUUCUAAAAAUGGGAUUUGCGAGGGGCUGAACAGCUGGAAAGCAGAUGGGGUUAGGGUGGAGUGAAUAGAAAAGUCAUUAUUAAAGAGAAAUGUUUAAUCUUCCAUGUCUUCUGUUUGAUUUGGUGGCUUUAUAGUGGAAUUUGAGGCAUCAUUUGGCAGCUGAAUGGACUUGGGUUUUGCAGUAAAAUUUAUAGGUGGUAUAACGUGGUUUUGUAGAGAAUGAUAGAGUGUGUCUGUUAUAAACUCUUCAUAAGAAUUUCUGUUACCAAAUUUUGCAAAUAUAGUAAAUGUUAUAAGGAUAUCAAAGUAUUUAAAUUGUGGUAUUCCCUCAGGGUUUUUUUAUUUCUGAAUUUAUAUGUGUGUAUGUAUUUUUAAUAUAUUUUAUUUUUUAGAGUAGUUCUAGCUUACAGCCAAAAUGUCAGAAAGUAAAAGACCCUAGUCCCUACACCCUUAGUUCCCACACAUACAAACCUCCCUCACUAUCAACAUCCCAUACAUGAGUGGUAGUUUUUUGGUGAACCUCGAGGUCUUUUAAAUGUAACAUUGCAGACAGCCUGUCCCCGUAUAUCCUGUAUAAAGUAAUGCCUGUAUCAGCUGCUCUUUGGCCUCUAUCCUCUUCAUUUCCUUCAAAGCACUUAUUCACUUACCAAAUAUUAUAAUACAUCUUGGUAAUUUGUUCAUUUUUCUGCCUACUGCCCUAGAUCUUAGGAUCACUAAGGUAGGUACCCGGAGCUUCUUGUUUACUGUGGUGUGCAUCUCCAGUUGUACCUGACACAAAGUAGAUUCCAAUAAAUAUUUGUUGACUGAUAGACUGGCUGACUGAUGGAAUAAGAAAUGGUGAGUUUCCUAUUAAACUACAUGCGCUUGAGAAGAAAAUUAGUUUCUUACUCAGCCUCAUUUAACUCCCCAUCUCUCCUUCCUUUCUGCUUCCUCAUUCACUUACUUGCUCUCUCUCUCUCUCUGUGUGUGUGUUUGUGUGUGUGUGUGUGUGUCUAAGAUACAGCAUUACCAGCAUUUAGUAUAGUGUCUGACACGUAAUUGGCACUCCAGAAGUAUUUACUGAAUUAGUGAACACAUUAACUCAUCCGCCCAUCAAACAUUAUGUUUGUAUCUUCUUUGUAUUAGACAUUCUUUUAGGCUCUAAAUAUGUAAAUAAUAUUGACACUCAAAUAAAUAAUUACAGACUAAAAGGUGAGAUGACUGUUCCGUUAAGAGGGGUGCACCAGAGGCUUUAAGAGGAGAGAAGAGGGGCACUUAAUCACAGAGUGGAGGGGCAAGAGAAAAUAAAUGAGAGUGAGUGCUACCUUGAGCUGAAAAUUUCAGAAGAAUCACAUGCCUCAUAAGUGCUCCCAAAUAUGUAUUCAGUUGAAUUAAACAUGUAUCUUUAGCAAUAGGGUAAAUCAAGAUGGCGAUUUUCAAAUGUGGGUUCUGUAGGCUAAAGCAUAUAUAGCAGAAUAUACUGGAAGCUUUAUAAAAAUAAUAAUCUCCUUCCCCUUUUAACACCUGAGAUUCUGUUUUACAAGGCAUUUAUUUUGGUAAAACACUGAUGUGGUCGCCUCCCUCACCCUGGUAAGGGAACCCUACCCUAACAGAAUGGAUUUUGCCAUCUAAGAUGGUGACUUUAUAUCCUAAAAGGAUCCUCUGGCCUAAGUUAAGCCAUAAGUGCAUACCAUUACUUUUAUUUUGCUUUCAGGAGAUGUUUUUCAUUUUCAUUUUUUAUUCUUUAUUUAAUAGGUUUCAUAUACAUCUUAGAAUUUAAAGUGUUACUUUAAAUAUGCUUCAGUUUACUUUUUUAUGUUCUAUGAUUAACUAUUCCUUUACUUAAAAUAAAAUUGACAUAAGGCAUUUUUCAAAGACAAGCUAGCAAACGAUUAUUGAGAGAAAUGGCAGUACAUACGAGUAAGAUAUGAAACUUAGAGUUUCCUUUUGGAAUGGUGCAUGAGGGAAGUCUAAAUGAGCUAUGUGUAUAUUUGCUUACAUACAUAUGCACAUGUCUAAGGUCCAUCAGCAACUAGCUAACAGAUGUCUGUGUUAAAAGCUCUUCAGUUUGAAGUUAUGUAUAAUAAACUGACGGGUUCUAUUUUAAUUCAAGGCUCUUGGCAAAUGUUUAUUGAAACUUACAAUGUGAUACUGUACUUGUGUUUAUUCUUUUCUCCUAAGAUUCAUUUUUGUUGUUAUUGUUCAAUGACAUGUUGUUGUUCGAAGAGUCCCUAAUUGGUGGCAGUUGAAUAUAUUGUUGAUUAUUAGCAAUGACUAAUUCUGUCCAAGUUUUAAUAUUCAAGCUAAAAGUGUCAGAAGAACAUAUUUAAUUUUCACUUUGAAAAAGAACAGGGUCCCCAGUUUUCCUAAUGACUGGAAGAGAAGGAAGUCUCCUUAAAAUUUUAGCAUGCAAUUUCUAGGCAUAAGAUUUUAUAUGGUACUUAUAGAAAUAGUUUAUUCCUGCUGAUUUUAGGAUAAUUAUUUUCUUUGCUUAAGCUAAAUUGUUCUAGAUAAAAUGAAAAUGCUGAAUUUUCAAAUGUAAAGUUCAUUUGAAACGUGUAAAUCCAACAGUAUAUAUAACUAAUUGUGAUAGACAUGUAAGUUUUAUUUGUUUUUUAAUAUCUGGCCCCCAUCAGAUGUCUGUAUGUUAAACCCCCCUUCUCAGUUGGUGGUGAAUGAUAUCUGGAUUAGAUUAUAUAAUGUUAUCUAUUUUUAAAAAUUAAAGCCUUAUUUCAGUCCUAAAAUUCCAAAGUUGUACUUGAUUUUAAUAGCUUUCUUAUAAUUGUUCCCAACCCCACUCCAUUCUCCUUUUCCUUCUCUAUAAGUCCCAUCCAUCUUCUUCCACCCUUCUAGUCCUGUGUUCUUAGUGGACUACAGUGAAUGUGUGUGUGUUUGUGUGUGUGUGUGUGUAGGAGUGGGGGUAGAAGUGGGGGUAUGGUUAAGAUUGGAGUCAGGGUGAUGUGAGUCAGGUAUGAACGUUUUGGUCUCACUAUAAAACUCCUCCUCUAUUUCUAGAUUAUCUGCUGUGCUAGGUAGAGCCAAGAGAUCACCAAAGUUACUUUUCAUAUUAAUCUAGUAAAUACUUUUAUAUAAAACUCUAAAUCUGGAAAUUAUUUCUUUAAACUUUUAAAGCUAUAGAAAUCAAACUUCAAAAUAUACCUCUUUUCGUUUUUCUUUUGACUUUUCUUCUUCCUUUCACAUUCUUUAUAUUCUUCACUUCAAUGCUUGAGCAUGGUGUUUAUGCCACAAAAAGAGUCAUCUUGUUUUAUGAACUAUUUAAUUUUGUGUUCUCCUCAAUUCUGUCUUUAAUUGAAAAUAGUCUUUUGAGAAAAAACGUUUGUUUCCCCCUGGAACAGUAUAACUAUUGUGCAAAGUUUACAGUAUUAUGCAAGAAGCUAUAAAAAUUAUUAGUAACAGCAUGUCAGAUUUUAGGUAUCACUAUAAGGGUAACAUUUUGUUAGAAAAAGCUUUCAAAAGUGUGUUUGAUCCAGAGUGUCAAAGCAUAUGUGUUUGGGGAGACAUUUAAAAAGUGAGAUGCCUAUUUCUGAAAGCAUAUUAUUAGAAGCGUCUGCUGAAAGCGUGAUGCAAACUUACCCUGGCCAGGAAAUUGUUGUCAGGCUGACAUGCCACUUCUAACUUACGUCACCAUUGGAUUCCAAUCAUAUUGGUUUGGCACAAACUAAGCGACCUUCUUUAACAUAUUCACGUCAUUCUUAUUUUCUAGGUCAUUGUGUUCCUAGUCAUGUGCAAAUACAUUUUUUAUUAAUUAUAUAAUUUGCUUUAAUAGCAAUUUUGAUGCACAGAUGAAUUUAUGAAUAUUAUGAAAUCUUUUCCAGAACAGUCAGAGAGUUGAGUUAGCCAAAUUCCCUUGGCCAAUUAAUGCCUGGAUGUGGCUGUUAUCUCACCAGAGCAGAACUUCUGGGACUUAGGUAUAAACAUCUUCAACCAUAAUAAACUCGAUGCUAUUUAGGAACACACCAGAAACAAAUCUCUGCACUGGUGGGGAUUCUACUCUAAAAGGAUAAGUACUAUAUAUUGAUGUAAAGAGAGAUUACAGUUAGUACUAAUUAAGCAAAAAAUUUUGUUGAUGGGUUGUAGGGGAUAUUGAGUAAUGAAUUAAUUUUAAAAAGAAAUAGGGGGAUAAUGACAGCGCUGGAUGAAGAAAUUGUAUAGGAUUAAGAAUUUUUUUAUUAAAGUAAGACACAUAGGUGGGGAAGAAGUCAGGAGGGCCUAACAAACCAAGAACCUAUGAUGAAAUAGAGGUGGGAAGGGCAGAACUGGGAAGUUGUGCUGGAUACAAAAUGGAAUUUGUGGUGAGAAAUGAUGGACAGAAUGGAAACCAGUGGGAUAAUAGCAAGGAGGAAAGCUUAGAAGAUAAGGAGCGGUCAGAAGAGACCCAUGAAACACAACUUGUGGAGUGGUUUUUUUUGUUUGUUUUUGUUUUUUUUUUAAAUCUGUGUAACACACUGAAGCCUUCUGUUUGUCCUUGAGUGACAUGAUCAAAUAGUGUUGGAGUAAGAUAAAUUUCACAUAGGGUUUUCAUGAAGGAAGAGAGAGAAGUUAGGAGCAGGGAGACUCAUUAUGUGAAUAUGUAUAAUUUUCCUAUUUAAUUAAUUAAUUUUAUGAUACAGAGUCUCACUCUGUCACCCAGGCUGGAGUGCAGUGGCCUGAUCUCAGCUCACUGCAACCUCCGCCUCCUGGGUUCAACGGAUUCUCCUGCCUCAGCCUCCUGAGUAGCUGGGACUACAGGAGCGUGCCACCAUACUCAGUUUAUUUUUUUGUAUUUUUAGUACAGAUGGGGUUUCACCAUGUUGGCCAGGCUGCUGUCGAACUCCUGACUUCACGUGAUCCACCUGCCCCUGCCUCCCAAAGUGCUGAAAUUACAGGAUUCAUCAUUUCGCAUUUCUGUAACCAUGAAUGAGGGUGUUUGUUUUCUUAGAACUGUCCAUGUGGAACAUCCUGUCAGCCUCAGCUUUUUAACAAUCAGGAAGAAAGUCACACAACCACAUAUUUUCUGAACAUAAGCUGAACUUCUACUUCCAUGGAGUGAGUUACUUCACCUCAUUGGCAAAAGACAACAGAAGAGUCCAAAGUCUGAGGGGACUGGGCAAGCUUCUGUCACAUGCUUUCAGAAUGAAGACAAUCUGCAAGAAUUUUAAGUUGUGACCUCUACAGAGAAAAGAAUGAAAAGUAGCCAAAUCUCCACAUGAGAGAUUUUGGACUAUUUUGCAGUGUAAACCCCAUCUGAUUUAUAUGAAGUAAGCAGACUUUCUCUCCAAGAGUUCAAAAUAAAUUAAUUCUAAUGCUAAAUAUGUUCUCAUGACAGUCUCAAAAACAAAACAGUAAAAAAAAGUAUUAAGGUUUACUCUACCUUUUCACUGUAUUAAACUCAUGUAUGAAGCAAAAGUUAGCUAAGAACAUAUUUAUUAUCAUUUUGAGUUUUCUAGGGGCUUCUACAAACAAAAACCAAAAGGCAAAACUCUGGUUAGUAAGUUAUAUAAAUCCCUUAACUCUUGGAACCCAUAAAAUAGAAAUGACAAAAUAUCUAGUUCAUACAAUUGUUUUGAUUAUUGAGAUAAAAUUUAUGAAAGUUCUUUGGAUCCUCUAAAGUUUUACACAGCUUCCAAAUAUUAUUGUUUGACAGAAUCCCAUUUGGAAUUAAUAAUGUCCUCAAUCUUGAUCUAUGAAUUUUAGUAAUUCUAAUUCUGCUUUGUAUCUUCAAGUUAAUUGUACAUUUUCUGAAGAUAGAAUUUUAAAGGGGAAGGAUCUUGUUACUCAUUACUUUCAUUGAAGCAUAAGUUUAGUAAAUGGGCUUUGGGUCUGUUAGACCUUACUUUUGAUCUUGGUUGAGUCUUAAAUCCACUGAGUCCUAGUUGUAUGACGAUAGAUACAUAACUCCUCUUCUCUGAGGUCUUCCACUUUUAAUUUGUAAAGUAGAAAUAAUUUUAGUGUCUACAAUAUAGGUUUGUUGUGGCUCAUGGAUGAAAUAAUGUAUGUUGAAGACUGGACAGUAGCUAGUAUGCUAACUCUCAAAGCCCCAUCUGUGCCAUUUCUCAUUUAUUCCCUCAAACAACAACAACAACAACAACAACAUCCCAGUGCCUUCCUUGAGGGCUGAAACUCUAUUCUAUUCCUAUUAUUAUUAAUUUCAGCAUUCUUGCCCCACUUACCUUUUGUGACACCUACCUGGAAAAAUCACAAUUCUAGAUAAACUCGAGUAUCUUCCUCUUGCCCAAAUCUAACCUUGAAAAGUACUACUAGAAUUACAUAAUGUCCCAGAUUGGCUCUUUAAAAUUCAUGGUCUCAGUCUCAAUGAGGUAACAGUAACAAGAGGCAAAAUUUCUAAUAUUCCCUGCUCAGCUUCCUCUCCCAUUCCCGCAGCAGCAGCUUCAAACUUUUCUUCAAACUCUCUCUUCCCUUACCUCAAUCCCCACACUGAGCACAAGAUUUCACAAGGAAUAGCGAAGCCAUCUGAUAGAUAUUUCUUCAGCUUCUCGUUUUUAUCCUGAAUCUAUGCUCUGCAUUUCUUCCUUUUCUCCUCCUGUUUUAGAGAGAUGACCCCUUUCUGUCUAAAGCCAAGCAUUUUUUUCUGAGUUUUAAAUCUCUAAAAUCGAUAAGCUUUUUUUAAAUUUUGAUUUUAAUUUAAUACUGACAAAUAUUUUAAAAUAAUUGUAUAUAUUUAUGGGAUACAACAUGAUGUUUUACUACACAUAAAAAUUGUGGAAUGAGCAAAUCAGUUCUAAUUAACAUAUUCAUCAUCUCACCUACUUAUCAUCACUUGGGGGUGAGAACAUUUAAAAUCCACCCUUUUAGCAAUUUGGAAAUAUACAAUACAUGAUUAUUAACUAUAUUUACCUAGCUGUGCUAAAGAUCACCAGAACUUAUUUCUCCUAACUGAAAUUUUGUACCCUUUUGCAAACAUUUCCCCUUUCCCUGCUCACACCACCCCACUUUCCCAGCCUCUGGUAAUCACCAUUCUACUCUCUACUUCUAUGAGUUUGGCUGUGUUAGAUUCCACAUACAUGAUAUUAUGUGAUAUUUGUCUUUCUGUGCCUGGUUCAUUUCACGCAGCAUUAUGUCCUCUAGACUCAUCUAUGUUGUUUGUAAUAAUAGAAUUGCAUUCAUUGUAAAGACGAAUAGUAUUUCAUUGUGUAUAUAUACCACAUUCAAGAAAUCCAUUUAUCUAUUGAUGGACACUUAGUUUAUUUCCAUAUCUUGGCUAUUGUGAAUAAUGCUGCAAUAAACAUCAGAGUGCAGAUAUCUUUUCAACA